UUUAGGGUUCCGUAGCCAAAUGGCAAAAAACGGAACCCUUAUAGAUUCGUCAUGUCUGUCUGUCUGUCUUUCACUUUUCUCCGAAACUAUAAGAACUAUACUGUCGAAACUUGGUAAGUAGAUGUAUUCUGUGAACCGCAUUAAGAUUUUCACACAAAAAUAGAAAAAAAAACAAUAAAUUUUUGGGGUUCCCCAUACUUAGAACUGAAACUCAAAAUUUUUUUUUUCAUCUGACCCAUACGUGUGGGGUAUCUAUGGAUAGGUCUUUAAAAAUGAUAUUGAGGUUUCUAAUAUCAUUUUUUUCUAAACUGAAUAGUUUGCGCGAGAGACACUUCCAAAGUGGUAAAAUGUGUCCCCCCCCCCCCUGUAACUUCUAAAAUAACAGAA